GUGGGGAAUCUUCCGCAAUGGACGAAAGUCUGACGGAGCAACGCCGCGUGAGUGAAGAAGGUUUUCGGAUCGUAAAGCUCUGUUGUUUGAGACGAACGUGCAAUUUUUGAAUAAGGAAUUGUAAUGACGGUAUUAAACGAGAAAGCCACGGCUAACUACGUGCCAGCAGCCGCGGUAAUACGUAGGUGGCAAGCGUUGUCCGGAAUUAUUGGGCGUAAAGGGAGCGCAGGUGGGAAAGUCAGUCGAUUUUAAAAGUGCGGGGCUCAACCCCGUGAGGGAAUCGAAACUACUUUUCUUGAGUGCAGGAGAGGAAAGCGGAAUUCCUAGUGUAGCGGUGAAAUGCGUAGAUAUUAGGAGGAACACCAGUGGCGAAAGCGGCUUUCUGGACGACAACUGACGCUGAGGCGCGAAAGCCAGGGGAGCAAACGGGAUUAGAUACCCUGGUAGUCC
rnacentral:rRNA from 1 species